rnacentral:SRP_RNA from 1 species
UGCCGGUUUCCCCGCGACGAUACGUUGUGAACCCCGCCAGGCCCGGAAGGGAGCAACGGUAGCAAUGGAUUCGAGUGCCGGGGAGCGGCUGGUACGG